GUAGGGUGCGAGCGUUAAUCGGAAUUACUGGGCGUAAAGUGUGCGCAGGCGGCCGCGCAAGUCGAGUGUGAAAGCCCCGGGCUUAACUUGGGAAUUGCGCUCGAAACUACGUGGCUGGAGUGUGGCAGAGGAAGGUGGAAUUCCACGUGUAGCGGUGAAAUGCGUAGAGAUGUGGAGGAACACCAAUGGCGAAGGCAGCCUUCUGGGCCAACACUGACGCUCAUGCACGAAAGCGUGGGGAGCAAACAGGAUUAGAUACCCUGGUAGUCCACGCCCUAAACGAUGACGACUAGUUGUUGGAGGAGUUAAAUCCUUUAGUAACGCAGCUAACGCGCGAAGUCGUCCGCCUGGGGAGUACGGUCGCAAGAUUA
rnacentral:rRNA from 1 species